CCCUUAGAUGUUCUGGGCCACACGCGCGCUACACUGAUGCAUUCAACGAGUCUAAAACCUGGUCUGAUAGGGCUGGGUAAUCUUUUGAAUGUGCAUCGUGAUUGGGAUAGAUGAUUGCAAUUCUUCAUCUUCAACGAGGAAUGCCUAGUAAACGCAAGUCAUCAGCUUGCAUUGAUUACGUCCCUGCCCUUUGUACACACCGCCCGUCGCUCCUACCGAUUGAAUGUUCCGAUGAAUACCAUGGACUGAGAGUAUGAAUGGGUUCGCCUAUUUCUGCUUCUCGGGAAGUGGAGUAAAUCUUAACAUUUAGAGGAAGGAGAAGUCGUAACA
rnacentral:rRNA from 1 species